GCAACUCCAACCUCUUCUGGGCCGAGCGCCUCGGCCGCGACCACCUCGGCGGGAUGACCGACCUCUGGGUCAAGCACUGCGGCAUCUCCCACACGGGAUCCUUCAAGGACCUCGGCAUGACCGUGCUCGUCAGCCAGGUCAACCGCCUCCGCCGCGCGCCGCUGUCGCGCCCCAUCGCCGGCGUCGGGUGCGCGUCUACAGGGGACACCUCCGCCGCGCUCUCCGCCUACUGCGCCGCCGCGGGGAUACCGGCCAUUGUCUUCCUCCCGGCCAAUCGCAUCUCGCUGGAGCAGCU
rnacentral:lncRNA from 1 species